GGCGAAGCUGAUGCUCACGCCGCGUGAGGGAUGAAGGCCUUCGGGUUGUAAACCUCUUUUAGUUGGGAAGAAGCGAAAGUGACGGUACCAACAGAAAAAGCACCGGCUAACUACGCGCCAGCAGCCGCGGUAAUACGUAGGGUGCAAGCGUUGUCCGGAAUUAUUGGGCGUAAAGAGCUCGUAGGCGGUUUGUCGCGUCUGCUGUGAAAAUCCGAGGCUCAACCUCGGACCUGCAGUGGGUACGGGCAAACUAGAGUGCGGUAGGGGAGAAGGGAAUUCCUGGUGUAGCGGUGGAAUGCGCAGAUAUCAGGAGGAACACCGAUGGCGAAGGCACUUCUCUGGGCCGUAACUGACGCUGAGGAGCGAAAGCGUGGGGAGCGAACAGGAUUAGAUACCCUGGUAGUCCACGCCGUAAACGGUGGGUGCUAGUCGUGGUCACAUUCCACGUGAUCUGUGACGCAGCUAACGCAUUAAGCANCCCGNCUGGGGAGUACGGUCGCAAGAAUAAAACUCAAAGGAAUUGACGGUGGCCCGGACAAGCGGGGGAGCAUGCGGAUUUAAUUCGAUGCAACGCGAAGAACUUUACAAAGGUUG
rnacentral:rRNA from 1 species